GGAGAGGUGCAAGAGCGGUUGAAUUGGACGGUCUCGAAAACCGUUGUGCCUUUGCGGGCACCGUGGGUUCGAAUCCCACCCUCUCCG
rnacentral:tRNA from 1 species